rnacentral:rRNA from 1 species
GUUAAAGGUACCCGUACCGCAAACCGACACAGGUGGGUGAGGAGAGUAUCCUAAGGCCAGCGAGAGAACUGUUGUUAAGGAACUCGGCAAAAUGACCCCGUAACUUAGGGAUAAGGGGUGCCACCAUCAGGUGGCCGCAGAGAAUAGGCCCAAGCGACUGUUUACCAAAAACAUAGGUUUCUGCUAAGUCGCAAGACGAUGUAUAGGAGCUGACGCCUGCCCGGUGCUGGAAGGUUAAGGGGAUCUGUUAGAGCAAUCGAAGCAGUGAACUUAAGCCCCAGUAAACGGCGGCCGUAACUAUAACGGUCCUAAGGUAGCGAAAUUCCUUGUCGGGUAAGUUCCGACCCGCACGAAAGGCGUAACGAUUUGGGCACUGUCUCAACAACAGACUCGGUGAAAUUGUAAUUCCGGUGAAGAUGCCGGAUACCUGCGACAGGACGGAAAGACCCCAUGGAGCUUUACUGUAGCUUGACAUUGGGUCUUGGUACUACAUGUACAGGAUAGGU